CCAGCUCCAAUAGCGUAUAUUAAAGUUGUUGCAGUUAAAAAGCUCGUAGUUGGAUUUCCGGAUGUGGGGGUGCGGUCUGCCGCAAGGUGUGUACUGCUGCCCAUGUCCAACCUUUUUCGAAGACUGUGCGUGCUCUUUACUGAGUUGCGUAUGGGACUCGAGACUUUUACUUUGAAAAAAUUAGAGUGUUCAAAGCAGGCUUACGCUUGAAUACAUUAGCAUGGAAUAAUGGAAUAGGACUUUGGUCUUAUUUUGUUGGUUUCUAGGACCGAAGUAAUGAUUAAUAGGGACAGUUGGGGGCAUUCGUAUUUAAUUGUCAGAGGUGAAAUUCUUGGAUUUAUGAAAGACGAACUUCUGCGAAAGCAUUUGCCAAGGAUGUUUCCAUUAAUCAAGAACGAAAGUUAGGGGAUCGAAGACGAUCAGAUACCGUCGUAGUCCUAACCAUAAACUAUGCCGACUAGGGAUCAGCGAGUGUAUUUAAGACCUCGUUGGCACCUUAUGAGAAAUCAAAGUUUUUGGGUUCUGGGGGGUGUAUGGUCGCAAGGCUGAAACUUAAAGGAAUUGACGGAAGACCACAACCAGGAGUGGAGCCUGCGGCUUAAUUCGACUCAAC
rnacentral:rRNA from 1 species